rnacentral:rRNA from 1 species
CUGGCUCACUAGAGAUAGGUAGAGGUAAGUGGAAUUCUGUAUGUAGGGGUAAUAUCCGUAGAUAUGCAGAGGAACACCAAAAGCGAAAGCAACUUACUGGACCUGUUCUGACACUCAAGAACGAAAGCGUGGGGAGCAAACGGGAUUAGAUACCCCGGUAGUCCACGCCCUAAACUAUGAUCACUAGGUGUUGGAGGACUCGACCCCUUCAGUGCCGUCGCUAACGCAUUAAGCGAUCCGCCUGGGUAGUACGGUCGCAAGACUAAAACUCAAAGGAAUAGACGGGGAUGCGCACAACCAGUGGAGCAUGUGGUUUAAUUCGAUACGAAGCGAAAGACCUCACCUGGGUUUGACAUGUACCUGCAAAUCCCGAGAAAUCGGGACUCUUUCGAAGGUGGUACACAGUUGCUGCAUGGCUGUCGUCAGCUCGUGUCGUGAGACGUCCGCUUAAGUGCGGUAACGAGCGCAACCCCUAUCGUGUGUUAAAUAUUCACGCGAGACUGCCUUACAGCAAGUAGGGAGGAAGGAGGGGACGACGUCAAGUCAGCAUGGCACUUACAUCCAGGGCCACACACAUCCUACAAUGGCAAGUAACAACGGGUCGCGAAAGGGUAACCUCGAGCCAAUCCUACAAACCUUGCCUCAGUUCAGAUUAGGGUCUGCAACUCGACCCUAUGAAGCCGGAAUUGGUAGUAAUCGCGGAUCAUCAGGCCGCGGUGAAUACGUUCUCGCUCCUUGUACACACCGCCCGUAAU